rnacentral:rRNA from 1 species
AACGAACGCUGGCGGCAUGCCUAACACAUGCAAGUCGAACGAGACCUUCGGGUCUAGUGGCGCACGUGUGCGUAACGCGUGGGAACCUGCCCUUAGGUUCGGAAUAACUCCCCGAAAGGGGUGCUAAUACCGGAUAAUGUCUUCGGACCAAAGAUUUAUCGCCUUUGGAUGGGCCCGCGUUGGAUUAGCUAGUUGGUAGUGUAAAAGCCUACCAAGGCGACGAUCCAUAGCUGGUCUGAGAGGAUGAUCAGCCACACUGGGACUGAGACACGGCCCAGACUCCUACGGGAGGCAGCAGUGGGGAAUAUUGGACAAUGGGCGAAAGCCUGAUCCAGCAAUGCCGCGUGAGUGAUGAAGGCCUUAGGGUUGUAAAGCUCUUUUACCCGGGAUGAUAAUGACAGUACCGGGAGAAUAAGCUCCGGCUAACUCCGUG